GCAGUGGCCACCAAGUCAAGGGAGUAUCCACGUCUCUCCGACAAUCCGGGGCCGGGCAUGGUGUGUUUAAAUUUGAAAUUCAGUUUGAUUGUUAAACACAAUAACUUGCUUUGCUGUAUCUUCUUCUUGUAAUCUAGAAAUCCCAGGACAGUUUUGAAUCCUCACUCUGGCUCAAAAGAAUUGGGUGCCUGUCUUUAAGGAUAAGAUUCUGCAGUUUGCCAGCCAAGAGAAGCAGGCUCUUCAUCUACUUUCCAACAUAGAAACUAUGUCAGCAGACCGUCAGAGUGACAUCACCUUACUCGAGCUUCCUGUAGUCCUUCCAACAUCAGUUUACAAGAUCGGAAGGAAAAUGUUCAGACCAACUUGCAUAGAAACCAGAUCAGUACCAACAUGGCUAAAUACCUGCGAUCAAGACGCGAUUGAAUUUCCCUGUUCUCAGGCUUGAAGACAACCAGUGCUUUCAGGCUUUUGUGAUAACAAAUGGAGAAGCACUUGAGCAAAAACAUUGCAGGCAGCAGUAGAUGUUUGCUUUGAAGCAUUCUAAACAGUGCUCCCCUGUCUGGCAGUUUCUACAGACUGUGGUGUAUGGACUUCCUGGAGAUGAAACCCCAGCGAUAAGAAUUCUUUGAGCUUUUAUAUAUGCUGCUAAGCAGUAAUUAUUGUUAGAUCACACUUUUUCUAGACUUAACUGAAUUUAGCUAACAUUGUUCAGAGGUGCUUUUAGAGUGUAAAAACAUUUUAAAUCUGUUUGUUUACACGGCAAUUGAUUUGUUAUUUGUACCGUGGCCAUGUCUCCCAGGAAAUAUCAAAUUUAUUUAAUGUUAACAGAUUAUGAAAUUUUGCAGAGGUGUAAAAUAACUUUUUAAUGUAAACAUUCUUUUUAUACUGCAAUUGAUUUAUUAUUCUUAUGGUACAUUGAACUGAACUGACUAUUUUCUCUUAGGAAAUAUUAUAGAAUUUUUGCAGUUUAUUUUGAGCUACUGAGAUUUUAAAUUAUUUAUAUUGACAAACUGUAUUAUACAUAUAUUAUACAACCUGUCCAUAUCUUUUCUUUGGUACAGUUCUUGUGUGUUCUGCACAUCUUAAAGCAUGCUGAACAGGCAGU